CAGCCGCCGCGGGAAUACGGAGGGGGCUAGCGUUGUUCGGAAUUACUGGGCGUAAAGCGCACGUAGGCGGCGAUUUAAGUCAGAGGUGAAAGCCUGGAGCUUAACUCCAGAACUGCCUUUGAGACUGGAUUGCUUGAAUCACGGAGAGGUGGGUGGAAUUCCGAGUGUAGAGGUGAAAUUCGUAGAUAUUCGGAAGAACACCAGUGGCGAAGGCGGCUCACUGGACGCGUAUUGACGCUGAGGUGCGAAAGCGUGGGGAGCAAACAGGAUUAGAUACCCCAGUAGUCCCUGUCUCUUAUAC
rnacentral:rRNA from 1 species